rnacentral:tRNA from 1 species
GGUGGCUGAAUUUAGGCGGUAGAUUGUAAAUCUAUUUAUGAUUAAUAAUCCCU